CGCUAUCACUCCUACGGGGAGGCAGCAGUAGGGAAUCUUCCACAAUGGGCGCAAGCCUGAUGGAGCAACACCGCGUGAGUGAAGAAGGGUUUCGGCUCGUAAAGCUCUGUUGUUAAAGAAGAACACGUAUGAGAGUAACUGUUCAUACGUUGACGGUAUUUAACCAGAAAGUCACGGCUAACUACGUGCCAGCAGCCGCGGUAAUACGUAGGUGGCAAGCGUUAUCCGGAUUUAUUGGGCGUAAAGAGAGUGCAGGCGGUUUCUAAGUCUGAUGUGAAAGCCUUCGGCUUAACCGGAGAAGUGCAUCGGAAACUGGAUAACUUGAGUGCAGAAGAGGGUAGUGGAACUCCAUGUGUAACGGUGGAAUGCGUAGAUAUAUGGAAGAACACCAGUGGCGAAGGCGGCUACCUGGUCUGCAACUGACGCUGAGACUCGAAAGCAUGGGUAGCGAACAGGAUUAGAUACCCUGGUAG
rnacentral:rRNA from 1 species